UUGAAUCGAUUACUUUGAGUGGAGUUAAACGAAAGGAUCGAAUGGAUCGACACUCGUCAACUCGUCAACAGACUCAUUUUUAUUAACGUUCCUAAAACAAUGACUUCCAAGACUCAUUUAUAUGUAUGAGGGCCAAAACGAUGACUUGAGGUCGAGGAGGAAAGUGCAGUGCAGAGCAAACUAAUUAAUGACCAGCCAUGGAGACGAUUACUUUGGAGCAGCCAGUCAAAAGGGUCGAGACUCG